UAAGACCUUCAGGGAUAGGUGAAAUUCCUUACCGGCGGUAUGGCCAUGCCGAGCCCGCGAGCCCUUUGGGGCAGAUCCGGUGAAAAGCCGGAGCCGACAGUAAAAGUCUGGAUGGGAGAAGGUUGUU
rnacentral:ncRNA from 2 species